rnacentral:lncRNA from 1 species
GAGCACAUGGAGGAGCCACAUGGAUUCUGGGUGACUUACAGAGGGCUGGAAAGAGAAAGGAAGGGGAACAACGGAUUAAAGAAGGAAAACGUUAAGGCUAGGACUCCACUGAAGACAAAAAAGAAAGAAAGAGACAAAAAUAAAACAAAGGGAAGAGAAAAAAUGAGUCCACGAAGAACGGUGAGGCUGAGACCAUGAAGAGCAGGAAGUAAGUUUCGAAGGACUAAGGAUCUGGACAUGGCUUAGCUGAUUCUCUGGCUCAGGGUCCCUCAGGAGGCUGUAAUUAAGGUGUCAGCUGAUGUUGGAGCCAUCUCAAGACUGGGAGAGGAGCCACUUACUGGCUCAAUGAAGUGGUAAUAGCACUCCUAUUUACUUAUCUUUGGAGCCUCCCAGGAGGAAUAAAACAACAGAACUGGAGACCUGUUCGUGUG